rnacentral:rRNA from 1 species
UAAUACGGAGGGUGCAAGCGUUAUCCGGAUUCACUGGGUUUAAAGGGUGCGUAGGCGGGCAGGUAAGUCAGAGGUGAAAUCUCCGAGCUUAACUCGGAAACUGCCUUUGAUACUAUCUGUCUUGAAUAUGGUGGAGGUAAGCGGAAUAUGUCAUGUAGCGGUGAAAUGCUUAGAGAUGACAUAGAACACCCAUUGCGAAGGCAGCUUACUACGCCUAUAUUGACGCUGAGGCACGAAAGCGUGGGGAUCAAACAGGAUUAGAUACCCUGGUAGUCCACGCCCUAAACGAUGAUUACUCGACAUACGCGAUACACAGUGUGUGUCUGAGCGAAAGCAUUAAGUAAUCCACCUGGGAAGUACGACCGCAAGGUUG